UUACAUAAAUCCCACACGAGGGUUGAUGUAAUAUACAAAACCCACACUAUAUAUAUAUAUAUGUGUGUGUGUGUGUGUGUGUGUGUGUGUGUAUGUAUGUAUUUCUCAUGUUAUCACGAAUUAACCUAGUAAUGCAAACUCAUAUUGUUCUAGGAAGAUGAAUAGCUGCAGUGUGGAAGAUUGUAUUUAUUGGUGACAAUGUAAGUGCAUGCCUGAUCAGCAUUGGGAUCGUGAACGUCAUCACAGCUUCCAAGAAUAUGUAUAUAUAUAUAUAUAUAUAAACACAUACAUACAUACAUACAUACAUACAUACAUAAAACCAAGGUGGGUCCUCGAAAAUUCUCUUGUUUAACAAUGUAAAAUCCUUGUUAAUGUCUUUAGAUAGUAUACUACUACUAUACAUGUCUCCAAAAGCACAUAGUGAUCGCGUCAUAUUGCAGCUGGAGAUGGCAUGUGUAGCUCAAGCACUG
rnacentral:lncRNA from 1 species